rnacentral:lncRNA from 10 species
CGUUGUCACGUGACGCGGCCCCAAGGCCCAGGCCACGCCCCCGGAGCUCGCCACGCCCACCGGGUCCGCCCCCACGCGGCCGCCUGCACAGGGGGUUCCAGCCACCCGCGCUCUCCCAGGUUUGCCGACCUUACGGGCCCUUCUCCGCCAGCCCUGGCUGGGUCACCCCCACGACCCGGGACUCCCCCGCCGUUCCCUCCCGGGCUGCCUGCAGUGAGGUCCGCUCCUGAGGCCUCAGCCUCGCCGGGGGUAGGGCCCUCUCCCGCCGUCGCCGCAGCUCCUUUCCGUCCCGGGGCCUGGGGGGCACCGUCCCACGGGUGAGGGCCGCCUCCAGCGCCUGGCCCAGCCAUGCGAACGCCUGGAGCCCGCGAGCUGCAGCUGCGGCCCUGAAGGUGCCGCAUAUCCUGCCGAGUGGGUGAAGCGUGGCACUUUGGAAAACAAAUCGGGAAUGAAGGAAAACAGGCAAUAAGGCAAGAAUCGCUGUCGAAGGAGUCUGCGCCACCUGCUCGCACAGCUCACUUGUGCCUUCUGAGCCUGCUGGAGCCCAGUGUACAUAUGCCGUCUCCGCGUGAUUAGAGAUUGCUGCUGCACGUGCCCAAUCCCGUGGCGGGGUGAGUAAGACAACAUGCAGUGCACAUGCGGCCGCUUCACGACCCAUAACUAGGUGUUCUGUUUCUACCAGGGACCAGAAGCAAGCCAGAAGAACAGUUAUCUGUGAAACAGGCUGUGCAUCUGUUCCCAAACCCUAGAGGCCUGUGCUGUGAUUCUCUUACUGGUGCUUCCCAGGGCCUCCAUAUAGCAUCCCCAUUGCCACAGACACUCGGAUAUUGUUGGGUCUGUGGAUGAUAAGGGCCAAAAGAAAGAGCAGCUUGCACUGCACCCUGAACUUGCUACAGAGCCUUCUCUAGUCCUCACUCAGAUUUAUUUAUUUAUUUUUUAAAUUAAAUUUAAUUUUUUUUGUUGUUGUUGAGACGGAGUCUCGCUCUGUCACCCAGGCUGGAGUGCAGUGGCGCGAUCUCGGCUCACUGCAAGAUCCGCCUCCCGGGUUCAUACCAUUCUCCUGCCUCAGCCUCCCGGGUAGCUGGGACUACAGGCGCCCACCACCGCGCCCGGCUAAUUUUUUCUAUUUUUAGUAGAGACGGGGUUUCACCGUGGUCUCGAUAUCCUGACCUCGUGAUCCACUCUCCUCGGCCUCCCAAAGUGCUGGGAUUACAGGCAUGAGCCACCACUCCUGGCCUCAGAUUUAUUUACUUAAGGUAUUUCUUUAAAUUGACUCACUAUUUUUUACCUAAAUAAAUUCAGCCUCAUCCUAAGCAAUGAUAUCUCCGGUGAGGUGGUUAUAUUUUUUCUUACAUAGGUGAUAAGUAAAAUAAAUACUUCAGAUUUAAAAUUGGGUGGGUGCAGUAGCUCAUGCCUGUAAUCCCAACACUUUGGGAGGCCGAGGUGGGUGCCUGUAGUCUCAGCUACUCGGGAGGCUGAAGCAGGAGAAUCACUUGAACCCGAGUGAGCCGGAGAUCGUGCCAUUGCACUCCAGCCUGGGUGACAGAGCAAGACUCUGUCUCAAAAAAAAAAAAAAAAAGAAAUAGAAUAAAAUAAAUAAAAGGCAAUAAGCCGGGCACCAUGGCUCAUGGCUGUAAUUCCAACACUUUGGGAAGCUAAGGCAGGCAGAUCUCUUGAGGUCAGGAGUUCGAGAACAGCCUGGCUAACAUGGUGAAACCCUGCCUCUACUAAAAAUACGAAAUUAGCUGGGUGUGGUGGUGUGCGCCUGUGAUCCCAGCAACUGGGGAGGCUGACGCAGAGAAUCACUUGAGCCUGGGAGGUGGAGGUUGCAAUAAGCUGAGAUUGUGCCACUGCACUCCAGCCUGGGCAACAGAGUGAGACUCCAUCUCAAAAAAUAAAUAAAAUAUAAUAAAAAUAAAAGGCAAUAAAUGUCUGCUUAUCAAUUGCUCAUAGGAGGUUUGCUUUUAGAACCCAUGCCCCAGGCUACGGGAAAGCCACGCGUCCAUACAGAAAGGCCGUGUGUAGGUGUUUUAGCCACAAGACCAACUAAAGUCCCAGCCAACAACCUGCAAUGACCAAACAGGUCACUGAGAGAGCCCUCAGAUGAUCUCAGCACCCAGGCUUUGAGAUGCUUGAGCUGAUACUGAGCAGGGCAGAGAUAAGGUGUCUCCAUCAAAUGUUACAAAAAUAGUAGAUCUGUGAGCAAAAUAAAUGUGGUCAACAUUUUUUCUUUUUUAAUUUUUUAAAAUCACAACCCUGCUCACCUAUGUUGUCAAUAUUUAACACUAACAAUUUUGAGAUGUUUUAUUAUGCAGCAAUAGACCACUGGUACAGGAGCCCUCUUCUCUCCCUAGAUUCUCUCUUCUUGGCCUUACUGCUUGUCCCCACUUCUCUGUCCCCAGAAGCACUCGGCAUAAUCUCUUCAAUGACACCAGCUCUGAGAAAACUAAAGCCAAAAGCCAAAAAAUAAAAUGUAGUAAGCUGCUAGUUAUGCCUCAAAAUAUCUUCUCCCCUCCUUCCUAAUAAUUGAGGUUUUGUUUGUUUGUUUGUUUUUGAGACGGAGGCGCACUUUGUCACCCAGGCUGGAGUGCAGUGGUGCGAUCUCAGCUCACUGCAACCUCUGCGUCCCGGGUUCAAGCGAUUCAAGUGAUUCUCCUGCCUUAGCCUCCCGAGUAGCUGGGAUUACAGGUGCCCGCCACCAUGCCUGGCUAAUUUUUGUAUUUUUUCUAUUUUUAGUAGAGACGGGGUUUCACCAUGUUGGUCAGGCUGGUGUUGAACUCCUGACCUUGUGAUCCACCCGCCUCAGCCUCCCAAAGUGCUGGGAUUACAGGCGUGAGCCACUGCGCCUGGCCACAUACUUGACUUUUAAAUAAGCACACAUUACUCUAGAGAGAGAGCGCAUUUCUAACUAGAUGUAUCUAUAUGAUGCAUCCAUAUGAUGCAAUUCCAGACAAUGGAAUGUAAGUGUGAGUGAUGUGUGUCAUUUCCAAGCCUUGGCCAUAAAAUAUGAAGCACAUGCUUUUCUAAAUUCUUUACCUUUUCCAUAGGCUGGAACACAAACGGGGUGGUGUUCCAGCUGCAACCAUGCAGAUGAAGACUAUACCCUAGGAGAUGGAGGAACAACAGACAAGAAAGAAACCUGGGUUCCUGAAUAACCACGUGGAGCCAAGCAGCUUACUUAUCUCAAGCCACUGUUGCCCACCUCCAGAUUGGUUCGUGAGAUAGAAAUAAGCUUCUAUCCUUUUUGCAUGACUGCAUUUUGGGGUCUGUGUUAUAGCAGCUUAAUCUCUAUCUGAAUUAUAUUGGAUUUAAGUGUCUGAAGCCCAAUGACUUAACCUUUCCUGAGGCAAAGGCACAGAAGAGCCUAUUUUCCAAAAAUGGGAAAACGAAGACAUAGGAAGGAAAAACCCAACAAAUGGUCAGGAAAUUAUACUGCUAUAGGCUCUUCUCGGAUGAGUGUCUAGUCCUAAUGAGGGGGCUGUGGGAAUUCAAAGACGGAGAAACUGCCUUCAGAUAGAGCUAGUAGGGAAGACCCCUGCAGACAGUGACAUUAAAUUGAAGGUAGAAUUUGGAUAGAUGGACAUGGGGAGGGCAAUUCAAACAAAGGGAACUUGAGCAACAGGGUGGAGGUAGAAAGGUGCCAGAUCUUUUGGGAGAUGCAGAAGUGAUAUCACACAGUUUAAAGCCAGAGUUAAAUAUAAACCGAUACUUAGAAGCUUAAAUUCAACAUGGCAAAUUCACAGGUUUAGUUUCCUAAAAGAUUUUUCAUGUUUUUAUUACAGAACUGUCUGCAAACAAAUCUUUACUUGAUGAGAAGUUUAAAUAUAAUUAAAUCUAGAAUAUUACAUGAAUAUUUUAUUGCUUUAUUAAGUCCUUCAAACAACACAUUUAUUUAUUUAUUUAUUUAUUUAUUUAUUUAUUAUUUUUUUUGAGACAGAGUCUCACUCUGUUGCCUAGG